rnacentral:rRNA from 1 species
CCCUUAGAUGCCCUGGGCCGCACGCGCGCUACAAUGACUCACUCAGAAAGUUUUUCCUGAUCCGGAAGGAUUCGGGUAAUCUUCAUAGCAUGAGUCGUGUUAGGGAUCGAUCUUUGCAAUUAUAGAUCUUGAACGAGGAAUGCCUAGUAAGUGCAGCUCAUCAGGCUGUACUGAUUACGUCCCUGCCCUUUGUACACACCGCCCGUCGCUCCUACCGAUUGAGUGGUCCGGUGAACCUUCUGGAUUAAGCAGCAAUGCUUGAGAAGUUAGGUAAACCUUAUCACUUAGAGGAAGGAGAAGUCGUAACA